CUCCACCUGGUUGUUAAUAAUCAAGUAGCUUUUGUUUACACUUCAAGUUGCGUUAAUACUACAUUUGGACAAUAUUUGGACAACAAAACUUGUAUAACACUGAAAUGCUUAAUCGCUGAUUGGGUUUACUCGUUUUUUCUGAAUGAGCUUACUUCUUGAACAGUUUCUUUUAUAUUCUUUGUGUCCAUAAUUCCUUUACUCCUAUUCAGCCCAGUUUUGGUUAUUUUGUGAGUGAAUAUCAUUUCAAACAAAGCCUUAUGAUCAAAGCGAAAUCCCGAUAACUGAUUUUAUCCUGUUGAAGUUUCAGUCUUUUUACUUGUUUUACCAUCCAGUUUUUUAAUCAUUCACUCAGGCAACUUUGGAAAGGAACUAAUACUCGUUUAAUACGAAGCCAACCAUAAUUCUCUUACAAAAA